rnacentral:rRNA from 1 species
UACGGGGGGGGCAAGCGUUGUUCGGAAUUACUGGGCGUAAAGGGCUCGUAGGCGGCCAACUAAGUCAGACGUGAAAUCCCUCGGCUUAACCGGGGAACUGCAUCUGAUACUGGAUGGCUUGAGUUCGGGAGAGGGAUGUGGAAUUCCUGGUGUAGCGGUGAAAUGCGCAGAUAUCGGGAGGAACACCAAUGGCGAAGGCAGCUCGCUGGGACGGUACUGACGCUGAGACGCGAAAGCGUGGGGAGCAAACAGG